rnacentral:rRNA from 1 species
GAUGAACGCUGGCGGCGUGCCUAAUACAUGCAAGUCGAGCGAACAGACCAGGAGCUUGCUCCUUUGACGUUAGCGGCGGACGGGUGAGUAACACGUGGAUAACCUACCUAUAAGACUGGGAUAACUUCGGGAAACCGGAGCUAAUACCGGAUAAUAUCUUGAACCGCAUUGUUCGAUAGUGAAAGACGGUUUUGCUGUCACUUAUAGCUGGAUCCGCGCCGGAUUAGCUAGUUGGUAAGGUAACGGCUUACCAAGGCAACGAUGCGUAGCCGACCUGAGAGGGUGAUCGGCCACACUGGAACUGAGACACGGUCCAGACUCCUACGGGAGGCAGCAGUAGGGAAUCGUCCGCAAUGGGCGAAAGCCUGACGGAGCAACGCCGCGUGAGUGAUGAAGGGCUUCGGAUCGUAAAACUCUGUUAUUAGGGAAGAACAAAUGUGUAAGUAACUGUGCACGUCUUGACGGUACCUAAUCAGAAAGCCACGGCUAACUACGUG